rnacentral:rRNA from 1 species
AUGGAUGCUGCCGGCGAGGGCGACAGCGGUGGCAUGUGCUUUCCCUACAACGUGCUCCUCGACAUCCUCCGACGUCUGCCAUGGCGCGACGUUGCUGCGUCGAAGUGCGUCUGCCGCUUGUGGCGCGACAUCCUCGGCGACCAUGGGCUCUCCCUCGAGCGCUGCUUCCCCCGGCGAGCCUUUCCCGGCCUCUUCAUUAACAAGUUCGGGUGUGGGUCUGAUACGUCCUUCUUCGCCCCGUCGUCUACACGCUUUCGACUCCCCUUCCAUCUGGACGACGACACCACCGUAUGCCAGUCCUGCAACGGCCUCCUGCUUCUCGACAAGUGCGGCCACUACUACGUGCUCAACCCUGCGACGGCACGAUGCACACAUCUGCCGCGCCCAACAACUCCAUGGUGCAGCUUUGCCGCAUCCCUCGCCUUCGACCCGGCCGUGUCGCUGCACUACCAUGUGUUCCUCUUUCAGAAGGGCGGCAUGCUCAAGGUGGAGGAGGAAGGCGAUGUUCCGCCGCUCGAGCAAGUGCAAGCGGAAGGGGUCGAGGAGCCAACGGAAAAGGUGUUGUCUAUGCUAGUGUACUCAUCCCGUACAUGUCAUUGGGAGAACCGAGAGUUCGCGCCUGGACGCUGCGCCCCGGGGCACCUCUACGACGUGGUGGCCAAACCACCCAAGAGCUACGGGGGAGCCUUCUGCUCAUGUGAAUACUGGCGUGAGUCGCUGUACAUGCACUGCCACAACAGCGUCCUCUUGAUCCUACGCCCUACAGAGGGGACUUAUGAUAUGGUCCAACUCCCUGGCGAAACCUGUAGGGCAAAGAGCUUGUAUGACCUGCCUAGAAAUUCUGUCUUAGCAAGCUAUGAGAGAGGGGUACACUAUGUGGCGUCCAGCGGUUCACUACUCCGUUUAUGGAUGCUAACCGAAUCAGUAGAUGGUCAACUAAGCUGGACAUUAGCACAUGACGCAAACCUCAACCUGCAUGCCCAUAUGAUUAGGACUAUUAAAACACAAUUCGAGGUGACAUGGGCGAUUGUUGAAAGCACCAAUGGGCCAGUCAGUUUGACCGACGAUGACGUGGAGGAUGAAAAGGAGAACGAAAGUGAUGGAGAUGACUCUAAAUACUCUUGGGACUCCGACGAGGACAAUUUCAUCGAUGUGGUCGAACGUGCUGGCCACCAUGAUAUGUCCAUAAGGGAUGUCUCCUGCGAUAUUAUGGGAUUCCACCCAUAUAAGAAUGCACUCAUUCUCAUGCUUAAUGGCGCGGUGGUAGUGUACCAUCUCGACACGUUAAGGAUGCAGUAUCUAAGCAACUAUUACCAGCUCAUCAAAGACACGGUGCAAGCAGGUUGCGGUGUUUACGAUUCAUUUACUUAUCGACCAUGCUAUGAGGACGUGCUCAUUGAGAAAUUUUCCAUGUCAUCUUAG